GGCAAGUCUGGUGCCAGCAGCCGCGGUAAUUCCAGCUCCAAUAGCGUAUAUUAAAGUUGUUGCAGUUAAAAAGCUCGUAGUUGAAUUUCGGAAUCUGUCCGUCGGUCGGGCUUCACUGUCCGUACUGGUGUGAUGGGUUUCUACCUUCUGAAUAACCGGCAUGUCAUUAAUUUGGUGCGCCGGGGAAGCAGAACUAUUACCUUGAAAAAAUUAGAGUGCUUAAAGCAGGCUAUCGCCUGAAUAGAUUAGCAUGGAAUAAUAAAAUAGGACGGCAUGGUUCUAUUUUGUUGGUUUCUAGGAUCACCGUAAUGAUUAAUAGGGAUAGUUGGGGGCAUUAGUAUUCAAUUGUCAGAGGUGAAAUUCUUGGAUUUAUUGAAGACUAACUUCUGCGAAAGCAUUUGCCAAGGAUGUUUUCAUUAAUCAAGGACGAAAGUUAGGGGAUCGAAGACGAUCAGAUACCGUCGUAGUCUUAACCAUAAACUAUGCCGACUAGGGAUCGGACGAUGUUAAUUUUUUAAUGACUCGUUCGGCGCCUUACGGGAAAC
rnacentral:rRNA from 1 species